rnacentral:rRNA from 1 species
GUCUACGGCCAUACCUAGGCGAAAACACCAGUUCCCGUCCGAUCACUGCAGUUAAGCGUCUGAGGGCCUCGUUAGUACUAUGGUUGGAGACAACAUGGGAAUCCGGGGUUUUGUAGGUU